rnacentral:misc_RNA from 1 species
AACGCACAUUGCGCCCAUUAGUAUUCUAGUGGGCAUGCCUGUUCGAGCGUCAUUAAGUCCACUUAAGCCCUGCUUAGUGUUGGGAGACUGCUCCAGUGGUGCUACCCUGUAGCUACCCUGCAGCUCCUUAAAGACAGCGGCGGAGUUGUGAUAUCCUCUGAGCUUAGUAAUUUAUUCUAGCUUUCGAGUACAUCACUUCCCCUGCCGUUAAACCACCCAAUUUUAAUGGUUGACCUCGGAUCAGGUAGGAAUACCCGCUGAACUUAA